GGAGGUGUGGCAGAGUCUGGUUGAAUGCACCGGUCUUGAAAACCGGCGUCCGCCUUACGGCGGGCCAGAGGUUCGAAUCCUCUCGCCUCCGCGA
rnacentral:tRNA from 1 species